rnacentral:lncRNA from 1 species
AUACAUUCUUUCCUCCAAGAGUCCACACAAUCAAAGCAGGUAUUUCCUUUUGAGGGGGGCCAUCAAAUUCUUCUUCUUGUUCAUUCAUCAGUAUUUCAUUGAAUACUGGAGUUACAUCAGCAGGUCUUUGCAAUGGAGGUACAGGUGUCUGCAAAAUUGUAGUAAUUAAUACAAAGAAUGUUCUUGCUUCAUACAUUAAAGAUAGCAGGUCUUUGCAAUGGAGGUACAGGUGUCUGCAAAAUUGUACUAGUAUCAAUACAAAGAAUGCAAACAUUUGUAGUAUUAGAUAGAUGAAAAUAUUUUAUCCUAAAGAAAAGAUAGAUGAAAACAUUUGGAGUAGGGUAACACAGAUAAAAAGAUUAUAAAUG